GUCUAAGGCCAUACCACCCUGAACGCGCCUGUUCUUGUCUGAUCUUGGAAGCUAAGAAGGGUUGAGCUUGUUAGUACUUGGAUGGGAGGGAGGGAGGGAGAGAGAGAGAGAGACUGACUGAGGCC
rnacentral:rRNA from 1 species